AUUCUGAAAUUACAAAUCUCUUAACACCGCUGAAAGUGAAACAAGUAUUUGACGCCAAUAUAGUAAGCCUACUACCGCAACGUGAUCAGGAAGGUAGACGUAUUAUAGCAACACCGCUGCUGGCGAUCGCUGGAAUCCGAAACUUAUAUCCUUGGAUGUCAUCUAUGCCGCCAGUACUUUAUGCACAGAACUCAUACAACUUGAACCGGAAACUCAAAUAAAUGGUGUUGUCUAUAUAGCAGAUAUGAAGGGUUUAGGCAUAAGUCAAGCUUACAAUAUACACCCAGUAGAGCACUGCGUACUCUUAACUAUAUACAAAAUAAUAUACCCUUAAGAGUUAAGGCAAUACAUUUUGUUAAUGCGCCAAAAAUCUUUGAACCCAUAUUUGGCGGUGUUAAAUAUUCUUUAACGAAAAAUUUGCCAAACGUAUACUAAUACAUAGUAAAGGGUUUGAUUCUCUACAUCGUUAUAUAUCACCGAAUAUUUGCCGGAAUGUUAUGGCGGUACCUUAAAAAUGGAUUUGUUAUAUGGUCCCGAAACAUAUAAGCUGCUGUUACCAUAUCAGGAAUAUUUUGAAAAUUUUGAUAAAUAUGGUUUUAAAAAGUACUAAAUUUUGACAUUUUGACCGUGUCAAAAGUGUAAUAAAUUUCAUUUUAUUUUGGUAAAUAGUGA